AACAACAUUUGAUGGGCUUGCUAUUCAGACAUUGAGUGGCCUUGCAGGAGAACUAGCCAGCCUGAAACUAGACGCCUCCCCACAACAACCCAUGGAAGCUGUGCCCGAACACGAGCGCCGCG
rnacentral:misc_RNA from 1 species